rnacentral:antisense_RNA from 1 species
UUUUUUUUUUUAAGAGAGCAGGUCUUGCCAUGUUGUCCAAGCUGGUCUCCAACUCCUGGGCUCAGGCAACCCUCCCACAGUGGCCUCGCAAAGCGUUGGGAUUACAGGCAUGAGCCACCACACCUGGCAGAAUUUUUAAUUUUUUGUAGAGCUAGGGUCUCGCUAUGUUGCCCAGUCUAGUCAUGAACUCCUGAGUUCAAGCAAUCAGCCCACCUUGCCUCCCAAAGUGUCGGGAUUACAGGCGUUGGGGCCACCACACUUGGCCUAGAAAACAUUUUCCAGGCACGGUGGCUCAUGCCUGUAAUCCCGACACUUUGGGAGGCAAGGCAGGUGGAUCACCUGAGAUCAGAAUUCCUGUAUUCCUAAUAGGAUCUGCGCCAGAGACAAAAACACAAGACAGGUGUGAGCAGUUUGAAAGGGAGACACCGUGAGACUCAGCCUCAGCCACAGAGAAUGACCACAGACUCACGCGUCCGGAGGGGAGACUGAGGCAGCCCUGCCCGUGCCGGCGGCGGAGGCCCCGUACCUGUUUGAUUGUGAUGGCUGGCCUCCAGUCCUUGUCCUCCUCUAAGAUGGACAGGCACACUGUCCCCGAAGGGUACACAUUCGGGUGAAAUAAUGGUGGUUCGAAUUUACCUGGAGGAAAAGGAAGAAAGGAAGCACUUUUUGGAGGCAGGCACUGUCCCAGAGUCACGUCCUUCCCCACGUCACCCUCCUCCCAACACUGGGGCCCCGGGUUGGCAGCCAGGUUAUUUGGCCAAAAACUUUUCAAAAAAAUUAAAUUGUGGCCAUGAGGAGACAAAAGGCAGACAUAUACACCUUUGCACACAGGGAACAGAGCCUUGGGGACACGGCCGCAGUUGAGACGAAGCUGUGUCUCUCCCGGGACAGAACUCCCAGCACAGCCAGGCAGUCUGGGAACAUAGGCCCCAGGGUGGCCACUUAACCUGUGGCCCCUACAUCCUUCCCAGCUGGGCCAGACUCAGGGGAGAUGGAAGGAGCCACAGGAGACGUCCAGGGACAUAGCCAAGGCCCUUCCAGAGUCGGCUGUUCCGACACAGACCCUCUGCUUCCAGGACACACGGGCUUUUAGGACCCUGUGUUAUUUCUUUACAAAAAAGCAGAAAAGUUUGCCACCAUUAGCCCCACCAGGGACCAUCACAGUUGAUAUUCUAGGCUAUUUCCCAUCUUUUACCCGGGCAUCCUCCCUCUUCUCUCAGUGCUACGGAAGGACACGCAGUGUGGCACAUCUAGUGCAGCCAGAGGAAUUAUCAGAAAGCCAACGUGCCACGAACACCUACAGCUUCCCAGAACACUUGCUCCUACCGACCACUGCGUCUGCCCCGUAAUCCCAACUCCAACACCCGCGGGCAGCUUCCUGGACUUCAGGUACCAUGGAGACGCACAGGGCACACUCCCUGGGGAAGGCGAGGACACCACCACAGAGCAUCCCACACUGCGACCAUCCCACACGGCGGACCAUCCCACACCGCAGGAGCUCACGGGCGACACCAGCAGCUGCGUGGCAGUCCUGAGUGCGAACGCGCGUGAGCGCGCUGCUGUGGAAUGUGCGGUCACGGCGUUGGCCCUCAAGCCAUGCUGCUUCCAGGCUGCAUCGCUGGCGGAUUCUAGCCACUGGGUGAGGUGCACGGCGGCCACUCCGUGGUGCUACGCUGCGCAUCCUGGUGACCGCUGAGGGCCCCUUUCAGCCCAGGCUGCUUCCUGGUGACUGCUUCGGAGAAGUUCCUCAAGUGACACGUCUUACAGGGCUCUUCUGCUUGGGGCUUGACUUCUUGCUUUUUUAAUUUUUUGAGAUGGAGUUUCACUGUGUUGCCCAGGCUGGAUCUCAGCUCACUGCAGCCUUCACCUCCCGGGCUCAAGUGAUUCUCCCGCCUCACCUUAGCCUCCAGAGUAGCUGAGGUUACAGGCACCUGCCAUCAAGCUUGGCCAAUUUUUCUAUUUUAUUAGAACCGGGGUUCCUCCAGUUGGUCAGGCUGGUCUCAAACUCCUGACCUUAAGUGAUUCACCUGCCUCAGCCUCCCAAAGUGCUGGGAUCACAGGUGUGAGCCAUCGCGCCCGGCCUGACCUUUUGCUCUUCUAAGGGAAUCUUUUGGCAAACACAAAAAUUGCCUAAUUUCAAUUUAAUCUGAUUUCUCAAUCUCGUUUCUUCUGCCAAUCACAACUUACCCACAGAAAGGCGCAGAUGCUGGACGCCAGCACCGCCAGGCCCACCUGUCCCUCCCGAGUUAGAGGCUGCCUCCUAGUUCCUCGUGGCCUCCGGCUUGGCCACUCCCGCGCUUGGCAGAAGGAACACAAAGGGGGUGCCCUCCUGUCUGGACUGUCCGCCAGGCAUCACGUGGCCUUUUCACUCUUCCCUACCUGUCAUCUGUGGCAAGUGGGGGUGACACCGGCACCCAUCUGUGCCUCUGGUGGACACACGCCUGCGCGUCUGUGAAUCUCGACUGACUCGAGUGAACAGCCAGGUCCUACAGCAUGAGCUCGGCUUCCACCAGUGUGGCAGGCAGCGUCCAGGAGAAACGUUCAGAACAUCCGCUCCCUCCAGCAGUGGCUGAGGCUCCCGCUGCCCUGCGCCGCGGCUCUGUCUGCUCCCCUGUGCGGUACGGCAGAUCCCACUGCAGAGGCUUCCACUCUUCGGCAAAGCCAGGCAUCCCUGCCGCAUUUGCUGGCUGGGUGGAGGCCUUUCCUGUGCUGGACGUAAUGGCUGCCUUCUUACUGAUUCCCAGGAGCUCUUGGUAGAUUCGGGGUGAGGGCUGAGGUACGUACAUACACCGUAGUGUGCCCUCCUGCCCGGUGCCAACUGCAGUCUUUAUGAUUAAGAGAGAUUCUUAAUUUCAACUUAGUCAACUCGUCAAUCUUCCUCUGGCCAGCACUUCAU